CCUACGAGCGGCAGCAGUGAGGAAUAUUGGUCAAUGGGCGCGAGCCUGAACCAGCCAAGUAGCGUGAAGGAUGACUGCCCUACGGGUUGUAAACUUCUUUUAUAAAGGAAUAAAGUGAGGCACGUGUGCCUUUUUGUAUGUACUUUAUGAAUAAGGAUCGGCUAACUCCGUGCCAGCAGCCGCGGUAAUACGGGUGUGCCGAGCGUUAUCCGGAUUUAUUGGGUUUAAAGGGAGCGUAGAUGGGUUGUUAAGUCAGUUGUGAAAGUUUGCGGCUCAAACGUAAAAUUGCAAUUGAUACUGGCAGCCUUGAGUACAGUUGAGGUAGGCGGAAUUCGUGGUGUAGCGGUGAAAUGCUUAGAUAUCACGAAGAACUCCGAUUGCGAAGGCAGCUUACUAAACUGCCACUGACAUUGAUGCUCGAAAGUGUGGGUAUCAAACAGGAUUAGAUACCCGAGUAGUC
rnacentral:rRNA from 1 species